GUCUCCACAGGCGUAUUAGUCUAAACACUGUGGUAAGAUAAGGCCGGUAACAGAAUGUAAGCAUACACUGCUUAUACUUAAAAUGGUUUAUCUGAGGAAGUAACAAUUAGUUAUGAAACAGAUUAAUAUCCAGAAAAUCUGUAAUAUUGCAUAUUGUUUGCUGUACUGCACAUGGAUUUGGCUUUGAAAGCCUAAGAUUAAACUAUGCAGAUUGUCUCCACUUGGAUUAUAUGGAGAAGGAGACGUAUCAUCAUAUUACUGAAUUAAGAAGAGAAACAUCCUCCCCACUGGAUUCCACGGAAUUUGCACUUCUACUGUGAACUAAUACAUCUACAGGAUAAGAACUGUUUAUCCCUAUAUGGGAAGUUGUAACAUACAUCUGGGGGAAUAUAUAUAACAUAUACAUAACAUAUAACAUAUGUUUAUGUACUUUGUCAUAUCCAGCGUGUAAGCCACUUUGGCUCUGAUAUGUUUAUCAGAUAAAUUUAUUGUAGACGGUC